rnacentral:tRNA from 1 species
UGGUGGGUGGGCUUAACAGCUAAGCACUUGGCUGCUAACCAAAAGGUUAGUGGUUCAAAACCACCCAGCAG